rnacentral:lncRNA from 1 species
AUUAGUCAGCAUCACUUUAACCCAGGAAAGCCUGCUGCUGAAGUGGCCUAAGGUGAUGAAUCACAAGGAGCAUCUUGCUCUUGACUUGGCUGCCAUUAAAGUGAUGCCAAGCACCACAUAACCAACUGAAAGGCGUCAAGGGGUUGGCAAGCCACUUGCACAACAGAGUUUGAUGUUAAGCAUCUGGGAGUUUCCAGCAUAUGAAGGAUACAUGGGGGUUCCGAAAUUACCUACAUCACUGAGCACUGUACAGCUGUCACUUAAUAUUUAAACUGGAUGAGAAAUCACAAAAACUCUGGUUUCUCAAAAGCAGAACUACAAGCUGUCAAAGUUGUUGGGUCCUUGGAGGCUAUCCCAACUUAAUUACUUAUUUCACAAAUGGAGAAACGUGCCAUUAUUCAUGUGGGCAGAAGAAAGAAUACGGAGCUAGAAUCCUUCCUGGGUAUCUUGUUUUAGGGGAUUAUAGACAUAGACUCUUAAGGAACACCAUCUGUGCAAGAGGCACAGCGCACUGACUAAAUGCAUGCUGAGAGUCUCCUGGUUAAAUCCACCCUCUUCCUGUUUCACUUCACAUGCAGAUGCUGGAAAGGGUAGGGACCUAAUGAGAGGCAGCAGUCAGCCCCUCCCAGCUGUUCUUGCUCUAACCACAUCCUGGUCAGGUGCCAUUAUUCCCUGGCUCCCCUGACUUAUUCUUCACACUGUCCUCACUGAUGAUGGCUUUCCUAAAGCACUGUUGCCCUUCCAAAAACACUCCAACAAGGCAAUUUAUAGCUGACCUAUGUUUUUCUAAUAAUGUUUUCUCUCCUCUCUUCAUCCUGGAAAUCCACGUGUCUCAGUUGCUCUCAAUCACUGCCACGAGUCUGGUGAUGCGCUAAGCUCGGGGCAGGAUCUCAAGGGCUUUGAGGAUGUCUGCAUCAUCUGUAUUGACCUGCUCCCCAGAUUAAUACCGAAGCACUGCAAUUUCUUGAGGAUUAUCCACCUAGGAGGAAAUGAUACGCUGGCCCAUCCAUAGUAGUCAAGGUAUGUUCAACAUCAAGAGAAGGUUUGCUGUGUAACAGGUAAGAACAGGUUUAAAAGUGUGGCUUUAUAUGAUAGCAAAGCACAAAUAUUCCUAAGUAUUACUGUAGUGUUCACAGUAGUCAAAAU